AGUCAUGACCUCUAUGAUUUCACAUGAAUCAACCAGCCUGUAAGGUAGAUAGGAACAUUUGGUCACUAGGUGGCCUAUCCUAGGGUAUCUAAAGCAAAACGCCAGCAGUCUUUCGUAAAAGAUCGUAACCAUGACUCUCUCUUCUUCAAAGCCCACCACUUUACCUAUGAAAAGAGAUAACCAUUAUCCUCAACUCCCUUUGUUUUUUUCCCAUGGAACUUGCUACACUACGAGUAAAUCCACAUCACCAUCCUUCCUAUAUAUGCUCUUCAUCACUUGUAAAAAAAAGAUAGAAGAAGAAAGAAGAGAAAGAGAGAUGACAAGAGCACUACAUGGUCUUGACUAUGUUGUCUUCAUGAUCAUGGUGGUAGUGAUGGCCGAAUUGGUCUCCAGUGAGAGCCAUCUGAAAUCAGGACCAACAAUGGAUCCACCAAGUGAUUGUUGUCAUGUAGUUCAGAAAGUAGAUGUGUCAUGUCUCUGUAGUCAAGUCACUCCAGAAACUGAAGAGGCCAUCAACAUGCAAAAGGUCACACAUGUUGCUUAGAAGCGUGGCAGACCUUUCUCUCCUGGUACUAAGUUACACUGUUCCUCCAAUGAUAUAUAGCAUGUAUGGAGAGACAUACGGAGAGGAGGUGCAUGCUAGUGUGAUUGAAGAACUGAAUGAACAAUUGAAGAGUGUUUUGUGUC